AACGAACGCUGGCGGCAUGCCUAACACAUGCAAGUCGAACGAAGUCUUCGGACUUAGUGGCGCACGGGCGCGUAACGCGUGGGAAUCUGCCCUUGGGUACGGAAUAACUCAGAGAAAUUUGUGCUAAUACCGUAUAAUGUCUUCGGACCAAAGAUUUAUCGCCCAAGGAUGAGCCCGCGUAAGAUUAGCUAGUUGGUGGGGUAAAGGCCCACCAAGGCGACGAUCUUUAGCUGGUCUGAGAGGAUGAUCAGCCACACUGGGACUGAGACACGGCCCAGACUCCUACGGGGGGCAGCAGUGGGGAAUAUUGGACAAUGGGCGAAAGCCUGAUCCAGCAAUGCCGCGUGAGUGAUGAAGGCCCUAGGGUUGUAAAGCUCUUUUACCCGGGAUGAUAAUGACAGUACCGGGAGAAUAAGCUCCGGCUAACUCCGUGCCAGCAGCCGCGGUAACAC
rnacentral:rRNA from 1 species